rnacentral:rRNA from 1 species
AGUGAACGCUGGCGGUAGGCCUAACACAUGCAAGUCGAACGGCAGCACAGGAGAGCUUGCUCUCUGGGUGGCGAGUGGCGGACGGGUGAGGAAUACAUCGGAAUCUACCUUUUCGUGGGGGAUAACGUAGGGAAACUUACGCUAAUACCGCAUACGACCUACGGGUGAAAGUGGGGGACCGCAAGGCCUCACGCGAUUAGAUGAGCCGAUGUCCGAUUAGCUAGUUGGCGGGGUAAUGGCGCACCAAGGCGACGAUCGGUAGCUGGUCUGAGAGGAUGAUCAGCCACACUGGAACUGAGACACGGUCCAGACCCCUACGGGAGGCAGCAGUGGGGAAUAUUGGACAAUGGGCGCAAGCCUGAUCCAGCCAUACCGCGUGGGUGAAGAAGGCCUUCGGGUUGUAAAGCCCUUUUGUUGGGAAAGAAAUCCUAUCGGUUAAUAACCGGUGGGGAUGACGGUACCCAAAGAAUAAGCACCGGCUAACUUCGUGCCAGCCGCCGCUGUAACAC